UUCUGUCUGCUGUUGGAGGACGACGAGUUCACGCUCGAACCGCGGCCCGUGAAGAGGUUCAGCCCCUCCAAACUCUUCAACGCUCUUCUGCGGAAGUGGAUGCGUAAGUAGGAGUUCCGCGACCCGUACUACUGAGGUUGUUGUCGAAGAAGCGACACUGCACGCGUGUAUAAGUAGUUGCGGCAGUCAUUGACGUACCUAA
rnacentral:rRNA from 1 species